rnacentral:rRNA from 1 species
UACGUAGGGUGCAAGCGUUGUCCGGAAUUAUUGGGCGUAGAGAGCUUGUAGGCGGUUUGUCGCGUCUGCUGUGAAAUUUCGGGGCUCAACCCCGAACUUGCAGUGGGUACGGGCAGACUAGAGUGUGGUAGGGGAGACUGGAAUUCCUGGUGUAGCGGUGAAAUGCGCAGAUAUCAGGAGGAACGCCAAUGGUGAAAACAGGUAGCUGGGGGUGUGCUGACACUGAGACACGAAAGCCAGGGGAGCAAACGGG